rnacentral:rRNA from 1 species
UACGUAGGGGGCUAGCGUUGUCCGGAAUCAUUGGGCGUAAAGAGCGUGUAGGCGGCUUUGCAAGUCGGGUGUGAAAGCCCUCGGCUCAACCGAGGAAGUGCGCCCGAAACUGCAUGGCUUGAGUACCGGAGAGGGUGGCGGAAUUCCCCAAGUAGAGGUGAAAUUCGUAGAUAUGGGGAGGAACACCGGUGGCGAAGGCGGCCACCUGGACGGAUACUGACGCUGAGGCGCGAAAGCGUGGGGAGCAAACAGG